CUUGUAAUGCCACCAUUGGAGGUCCCAAGUCCUCAUGAAAGGCAGAGGGAAAG
rnacentral:ribozyme from 2 species